rnacentral:rRNA from 1 species
GAUCCUGGCUCAGGAUGAACGCUGGCGGCGUGCCUAACACAUGCAAGUCGAACGAAGAUGCAUUUCAGAUCCCUUCGGGGUGACGAGGUGCAGACUUAGUGGCGGACGGGUGAGUAAUGUAUGGGCAACCUGCCUUCAAGAGGGGAAUAACAGUCGGAAACGACUGCUAAUACCGCAUAAUAAAGCGUAGUCGCAUGACAAUGCUUUCAAAGGGGCAAUCCGCUUGGAGAUGGG